rnacentral:rRNA from 1 species
GUGGUACACAUUAAUGGUAUAAAGGGUCAGUAGUAUGGUAUAUAUAAAUAUAUACUAGAAUAUUAUUAUUUAAAUUAUAAUGAAGUACAUGAGUAAGGGUUAUAUCUAUAGAUACAUGUAUGACAACAAUUAUAUGAAGAUAUUUAAUUAUAAUAAUAUUGACAUUGAGUGACGAAACCUAUAGUAUCGAAUUGGACUAGUCAACCAAUUAGUUAUAGGUGUAAACAAUGUAUGUUAAUUUUUUAUUUAUUAAUAAAAAAUAAAGUUAAUAUGAGAACAUACCACCUGAGGAGUACUACACAGUGUAGAAACUCAAAACAAUAGACCGUUUAGGUUAUUAACAGUGGAUCAUGUAGUUUAAUGCGAUAAUACACGCUAAUCUUACCAUAAUUUGCAUAUAAUAUAAUUAAUAUUAUACAAGUGCUACAUAGCUGUCUCUAGUUCAUGCUGUAAAGUAUUAGGUUAAGUC